AUUGAACGCUGGCGGCAGGCCUAACACAUGCAAGUCGAGCGGAUGAAGGGAGCUUGCUCCUGGAUUCAGCGGCGGACGGGUGAGUAAUGCCUAGGAAUCUGCCUGGUAGUGGGGGAUAACGUCCGGAAACGGGCGCUAAUACCGCAUACGUCCUGAGGGAGAAAAUGGGGGAGCUUCGGACCUCACGCUCUCAGAUGAGCCGGGGUCGGAUUAGCUGGUUGGUGGGGUAAAGGCAUACAAAGGCGACGAUCAGUAGCUGGUCUGAGAGGAUGAUCAGCCACACUGGGACUGAGACACGGCCCAGACUCCUACGGGAGGCAGCAGUGGGGAAUUUUGGACAAUGGGCGAAAGCCUGAUCCAGCAAUGCCGCGUGUGUGAAGAAGGUCUUCGGGUUGUAAAGCACUUUUGUCCGGAAGGAAGUCCUUGGCUUUAAUACAGUCGGGGUAUGACGGUACCGGAAGAAUAAGCACCGGCUAACUACGUG
rnacentral:rRNA from 1 species